GAAAUGCCAGCCCCAUGUGAUGGGGCUGGUAGGAGACAGGGCUCCCAACCUCAGCUUUAAUUCCUGCUCCACUGGAAAUGACCUCUACCUGUCCUGGAGCCAACCCUGGAGCUGCUUACCUCACCCUCUUUUGCCUGAACCAAGCACAUACUCUAGCACCUUCAUCAAACACAGUUGUCCAUCGACACCACAGGGGACUGGUUCCAGGAUCCCCUUGGGCAACAAAAUCUGAGGAUCCUCAAGCCCUCUGUAUAAAAGGACAUAGUAUUUAUGUAUAACCUAUACAUCCUCCCGUACACUUGACCAUCUCUAGAAGACUCAUGAUAACAAAUGUAAAUGCUGUGUAAGAAGUUCCAUUAAAUUGUUUAGGGAAUCAUGAGAAGAAUAAGUCUGUACAGAAGUCUUUUUUUCAAAAUAUUUUCUCUCCAUAUUUGGUUGAAUCCAAGGAUGUGGAACCCAUGGACACAGCUGACAAUAAAGCAUGUUUUUUGAAUUACUCUACAAGUGGAUGCAGAAACAAAUUCAAGAGGGGAACAUUCCUCUAAAGGAUAUAGAUUAAGCCCUAUCAGUACUCUGCCGACUGCUUUGCACACUCACACAUUUCACCCUCACAACCAGCGCCAGAUGGAGUCAGCAUCCUCAUUCAUUCUUGUUUUUAAAUGAAGAAACACAGACUAGAGCUUAAGUAACACUGCAGGCUAUGGGGAAAGAGGAACCCUCCUCCACUGCUGGUGGGAGUGUAGACUGGUGCAACCACUGUGGAAAUCAGUAUGGAGAUACCUCACAGAACUAGGACUGGAAGUCCCAUGUGACCCAGCUAUUCCACUGCUGAGUAUCUUCCCCAAAGAAUUAAAAGAAUCAUACCACAGUGAUUGCCCUGAAAAUAAUGAGGAGUCCAAGAACAAGGUUGAUAAAGAUGGUCAGUUCUGAAGAUGUUCUUCCCAGCUUGCAGAUAGCCACCUUCUUGCUGUGCACACCUGGUGGAGAGAGGAGAUAAUGCGAGUUCCCUGUGUCUUCUUACAAGGGCGCUGAUCUUUCUGAUCCUUCAGAACCCUACUUUAUGACCUCGUUUCACCUUAAUUACUUCUGUAAAGGCCUUGUCUCUAACUGCAAUCACACUGAAGGUCAGGGGCACAUUCAUUCCAGAGCACUUGCCAAGAAGCACAUGGGUGUCAAGGCAGGGAAGGUUUCAGGUUCAACCCCUGUGAGCUGGUGGAGGUGGUGACCCCAGAGCCACCAUAGCUGAAGCUGGAAGCUGCACAGGGUCUUGUCUGGAGGACUAUUGUCUGAACAUGAACCAAGUGAGCUAUUGUUGGAGCACAAGCAUGGGACCCACUGCUGAAA
rnacentral:lncRNA from 1 species